UGGGGAAUAUUGGACAAUGGGCGCAAGCCUGAUCCAGCAAUGCCGCGUGUGUGAAGAAGGCCUUCGGGUUGUAAAGCACUUUUAUCAGGAGCGAAACGCUGUCGGCUAAUACCCGGCGGAACUGACGGUACCUGAGGAAUAAGCACCGGCUAACUUCGUGCCAGCAGCCGCGGUAAUACGAAGGGUGCAAGCGUUAAUCGGAAUUACUGGGCGUAAAGCGUGCGUAGGCGGUUUCUUAAGUCUGCUGUGAAAUCCCCGGGCUCAACCUGGGAAUGGCAGUGGAUACUGGGAGGCUAGAGUGUGUCAGAGGGUGGUGGAAUUCCCGGUGUAGCGGUGAAAUGCGUAGAGAUCGGGAGGAACAUCAGUGGCGAAGGCGGCCACCUGGGACAACACUGACGCUGAGGCACGAAAAGCGUGGGGAGCAAACAGGAUUAGAUACCCUGGUAGUCCACGCCCUAAACGAUGCGAACUGGAUGUUGGUCUCAACUCGGAGAUCAGUGUCGAAGCUAACGCGUUAAGUUCGCCGCCUGGGGAGUACGGUCGCAAGACUGAAACUCAAAGGAAUUGACGGGGUCAUAGCUGUUUCC
rnacentral:rRNA from 1 species